CAAACUUUACUUCAGAAACGGUGUGAAGAUUUUUUAAUCAACAAGGUCUUACAUCACACAGCAGUCUACUUGUAAGGAGGCUUUCCUAUAGAGAUAGAGCUUAUCAACUGGUGAUCUUCACUGUAAGAUGAUUGAGUGAGAACCUGGCUAAUUCAUUGGGGACCCCAAAAUGACAUUAUCUAUGGGUCUUUUCUUUGAGAGCAGUUCCAGUCUCCUCAGAGAUGAAUUCUCCAGUUUCUUGCCUGGAAAAUAUAUACCUGACUGCUGGUGUUCUUGGAACCAAUGUUUUUGGAGUGUAGGAAAAGGGACCUUAUUGUAGACUUUCAUUUAGUGCCCCUAUUUUCAAUAGAAUGCCCAUUCCCUAUUUUUAACUCUAUCUGGGGCAUCUGGGUCUGGGGCUUCUGUGGAUCAAUUUAGUUUGAAUAAACUUCCAAUCUCCUGCCAGAGUAGGGAAAAGGUAUUUUCCUGGCUGAGCAGGUUGAGGGAGGAGAACUAAGAGUGGUCUAGCUGCUUUUCUCGCACACAUGCAACCAAAUCCUCUGCUUUUGGCCUCUUGACACACCCCUGCUUUCUUUGGUCACUGGUGUCUCUAAUUUCUGAGCUUCCCAGGCAUUCCACAGCAUGAAUUGUCUUGCUUCUCAUUUUGCAGCCCCCACUCUGCAGACAUUUGCUCUUCAGUCCCUUCAGCUCUGCUAACCUGCAUCUACUUUCUAUCUUCCAAAAACGUCUUGGCAUAUCUAGUCUUCUGCUGCCUUCAUUACCGUUCUCUCUGUCUUUGUGGGAUUUUACCCCUUAAAAAACUAAUUUCUCUUCAUUUUAGCAUAGUUUUAGAAGAGAUAAUAGAUAAACAUGUAUUUAAUGUCAUAUUUAAUUGGAAGUCCUCCAAUUGUAUUUAUUAAAAUGAAAAAUUCACAUGCUCCUUGACUUGGAAAUCUCACUUAUGAUAAUUUAACUGUCAGAAAUAAAAGUGCCAGUAUUGUAUAGGUAAGUUUACAAGAGUGUUUACUGCAAUAGUAAUAGCAACAAUCAGAGUGUCCGCUGAUAAGGAACAGUUAUGUAAAUUAUGGUGUAUUUAUACUAUGGACUACUCUCCAAUCAUUAAAAGGAAUAAGGCAUAUUGACUUGGAAAGCCAUCCAUGAUAUAUUGCUGAGUAAAAGAGAAGGCUAUAGUAACCCCAUGUUUGUGAAAGAAAGUGAACUAGUAUUAUAUGUUUAUAUGUUUGUAUACAUAAAGAAUAAAGUGUGUAAGGAGUCAUACUAGAUUUUUAACAGUGAUUACAUUGGGGGAUGGCUUUGGAUGGGGAGUGGAAGAAUAUAUCAAUUUAACUUUAGAAACUUUUUUAUUGUCUUUGAAGUGUUUCAGUUAACCUGUGUUGCUUUUGUUAUUCAAACGCCAAAAUAAACAUGCUUAAAAAAAGUUGUAGAUGCAAGAAUGUUCACUGCAGCAUUAUUUAUGAUGGUGAAAAAUUGGAAAAUAAUAUAAAUGUCUGACAAUAAAGACUGGUUAAUACAUUUGAAAUAUCUAUAUGGCAGAAUAUUAGGAGCCUAUUAUAAUGAUCUUUUAGACAAAUUUUAAUGUUGUGGUAAAAUGGUCAUGAAUAAUGCAAGGUGAGAAAAGUAGAAUACGAAAUCGUAUAUACUUUGUAAUUCCAAUGUUGUAAUUAAAAUGUAAUGC
rnacentral:lncRNA from 1 species